rnacentral:sRNA from 1 species
GGGGCUGAAUGGAUUCGACAUUUAAAAAAACAUUUUUAUUAUACAAUCUUUUUAAUAAGUAAAAAUAACUGCAAAUAAUUCAAUUCAUUUUAACCGAGUUUCAGCAUUUUGUUAAUAUAGUUUUACUAAAACUUUAGCCAAAAUUGUCAGGAAACUUGCUAGUCAAUAUUUCUUAAUUGAUAAAAAGUUGACUAAAAUUAUUAAUCUGCACUAACUUAAGAGUUAAGAGUUAUAAACUUUAAAAUUUUUAAUAGUUUUUUAUAAAAAUUUUAGUAUAAAAUAAAUUUGUGACAAAAUAAAUAGUGUAAUUUUAGAUGGAAGUGGGUUCAAGUCCCACCAGUUCCACA